rnacentral:rRNA from 1 species
CGGAUGCGAUCAUACCAGCACUCAAGCACCGGAUCCCAUCAGAACUCCGAAGUUAAGUGUGCUUGGGCGAGAGUAGUACUAGGAUGGGUGACCUCCUGGGAAGUCCUCGUGUUGCAUCC